CGGGUUGGCGGCGCUGCUGGCGGCGGCCGCGUUACUAGCCGCCGUGUUGCUGCUGGCGGCCCUCGCCUACAGGCGCAGUACAUCGCACGCCUGCAUGAGGAAAGGCUACGAGCAGAGCGGCAUAGUGGAGGAGGACAAGUCGGUAGAGAGGAGGGAUAACCGGCGCAACUGCCAGCAGGUGUACACCUCCUCACCCAUCAAACAUCCUGCCACCAAAAAGGAACAACAAGAAAUGUACGAGAUAAGUCCGUACGCGACGUUCAGUAUGUCGGGGGGCGCGACGAGCGAGGCGGGCGAAGCGGGCGAGGC